CCUACGGGAGGCAGCAGUGAGGAAUAUUGGUCAAUGGGCGAGAGCCUGAACCAGCCAAGUCGCGUGAAGGAUGACGGCCCUACGGGUUGUAAACUUCUUUUGUCAGGGAGCAAUUUAGUCCACGUGUGGGCUUGGCGAGAGUACCUGAAGAAAAAGCAUCGGCUAACCCCGUGCCAGCAGCAGCGGUAAUACGGAGGAUGCGAGGGUUACCCGGAUUUAUUGGGUUUAAAGGGUGCGGAGGGGGAAUAUCAAGCCAGCGGUAAAAUUUCGGGGCUCAACCCCGUCGUGCCGUUGAAACUGAUGCUCUUGAGUGCGCGAGAGGUAGGCGGAAUGCGUGGUGUAGCGGUGAAAUGCAUAGAUAUCACGCAGAACUCCGAUUGCGAAGGCAGCAUACCGGCGCCCAACUGACGCUGAUGCACGAAAGCGUGGGUAUCGAACAGGAUUAGAUACCCCUGUAGUC
rnacentral:rRNA from 1 species